rnacentral:tRNA from 1 species
GGGGUUGUGGCUCAGUGGUAGAGUGCUCGCCUAGCAUGUGCAAGGCCCUGCAUUCGAUCCUCAGCACCACA